CAAAGAUGGGGCAAAAUGCGCCGCUGCAAAAAAUUAGAAUAAUCGACGAUAUAAAAGGCGUCGGUUAUUUUUUUUU
rfam:Enterobacter sp. 638, complete genome.